rnacentral:rRNA from 1 species
CCUACGGGAGGCAGCAGUGGGGGAUAUUGCACAAUGGGCGAAAGCCUGAUGGAGCAACGCCGCGUGGGUGAAGAAGGUCUUCGGAUCGUAAAACUCUGUUGUUAGAGAAGAAAGUGCGUGAGAGCAACUGUUCACGUUUCGACGGUACCUCACCAGAAAGCCACGGCUAACUACGUGCCAGCAGCCGCGGUAAUACGUAGGUGGCAAGAGUUAUCCGGAUUUAUUGGGCGUAAAGGGAACGCAGGCGGUCUUUUAAGUCUGAUGUGAAAGCCUUCGGCUUAACCGGAGUAGUGCAUUGGAAACUGGGAGACUUGAGUGCAGAAGAGGAGAGUGGAACUCCAUGUGUAGCGGUGAAAUGCGUAGAUAUAUGGAAGAACACCAGUGGCGAAGGCGGCUGUCUGGUCGGUAACUGACGCUGAGGUUCGAAAGCGUGGGUAGCAAACAGGAUUAGAUACCCGAGUAGUC